CCUGUCUUUUCUGGGGUUGAAGAGAGUGGGUUUUGUUUAUUUUGAUGGAGAUUUCCAAAAGGGUUGGUUGUUAAGUUCAGCUUGGAGAUUACCCCUCCUCUUACUAAUUUAUGGACUAUUGGAGAAUGCUAAAGUUUGAGGUUUUCUCUGUUUGCCUUUGGAAGGUGGUAAGGUUAAAUGCUUGCUGAUUGUGGUUGGCUUAAGUUUGCCGUUGGACUGGGUCCCUUAUAAAGCUCAGUGUUUGGUUUACCGGGAAAAAAAAAAGAACCUUCACAUUCAUCCGGGCACUUUUCAGCAAUUCUAGGAUCCUCACAUCUGACACGAGUUCAUACUUCUUGGAUAUACGCGAUUCAGAAGGUUAUGAUAUAUCUCAUCCUCUUGCCGUUUUCUAUCGCUCUAGUUGUUGGUGCUCAGCAAGGACAAGCGACACCAGACCCGUUAACUGAAGUCGACACGAGGUGCCUGGUGAAGAAGUUUGCGGACCUAGUGAUUGUAAUUGGUAUUCCCGCUGGGGUGCUAACUCUAGUUGUCUUUGUGCUAAUAUUUUCUCUUUAUCGAGCUUGUUCCCAUAGGCAGCAACGGACACUUCCAGCGGCUUCCUCAGUUGCAACACCACAGGGUUAUGUAGCAACUGAAGCUACAACUUCAGCCGUGGUGCCAACACAAAGCGUUGGUUCAGCUGUGAUCGGGAGUUUUCCACUUCACAGCUUUCCAAGUGAGGGGAGCGCCACGUUUGGUGAUACAUGUGGUAUUUGCAUCGAGGACUUUGCUGAUGGAGAAACCUUGCGUAGUUUCCCGAACUGCGGUCACCUAUAUCACUCCGAGUGCCUCGAGGGUUGGCUGAAUGGUGAUGGAGGAAAAUGGUGUCCUUGCUGUAAACGUGAUCUUGUUGCAUGACCUUAAACUAAACUUUUAGUUUGUAGGUGUUUUAUCAUGUAACAUAUACUGUAUAUUUGGCAUUUACUCAUUUGGGAUUAUGUGGUAACAAGUAACAACUAGGUAUCGUUAUUGAAGCAAAUACGGGAAUGCCAAGAGGAUUAGCCGUGACACACUUGGAUGAGCAUGUAGAGUGUAGGAAAAGCUGUAAAGUAAUUCUUCUUAUCUAUUUUCAGAAGGAAAUAUAUACACCAUACGGAAAUCAAUUUAGAUCCUAGAAUAAAGAAUAUAUAUUGUCAUUGCCUAUUCACAUUCCUACAUAAAUGUAAACAAAUCAAUUCAGUU